rnacentral:rRNA from 1 species
ACCCUUUAAUGUUUGAUGUUCUAACGUGGACCCGUAAUCCGGGUUGCGGACAGUGUCUGGUGGGUAGUUUGACUGGGGCGGUCUCCUCCUAAAGAGUAACGGAGGAGCACGAAGGUUGGCUAAUCCUGGUCGGACAUCAGGAGGUUAGUGCAAUGGCAUAAGCCAGCUUGACUGCGAGCGUGACGGCGCGAGCAGGUGCGAAAGCAGGUCAUAGUGAUCCGGUGGUUCUGAAUGGAAGGGCCAUCGCUCAACGGAUAAAAGGUACUCCGGGGAUAACAGGCUGAUACCGCCCAAGAGUUCAUAUCGACGGCGGUGUUUGGCACCUCGAUGUCGGCUCAUCACAUCCUGGGGCUGAAGUAGGUCCCAAGGGUAUGGCUGUUCGCCAUUUAAAGUGGUACGCGAGCUGGGUUUAGAACGUCGUGAGACAGUUCGGUCCCUAUCUGCCGUGGGCGCUGGAGAACUGAGGGGGGCUGCUCCUAGUACGAGAGGACCGGAGUGGACGCAUCACUGGUGUUCGGGUUGUCAUGCCAAUGGCACUGCCCGGUAGCUAAAUGCGGAAGAGAUAAGUGCUGAAAGCAUCUAAGCACGAAACUUGCCCCGAGAUGAGUUCUCCCUGAGACUUAAAGUCUCCUGAAGGAACGUUGAAGACGACGACGUUGAUAGGCCGGGUGUGUAAGCGCAGCGAUGCGUUGAGCUAACCGGUACUAAUGAACCGUGAGGCUUAACCUU